rnacentral:tRNA from 1 species
UCGCCGAUGCCGCGGGGAAGCAACCGGCGUCCGAUGCCGGGCUGGUCGCCGUGCUGAAGACCUUGCGGUUCGCGCCCGCGCUGGCGGC